rnacentral:rRNA from 1 species
UCUGGUCGCUUAACGAUCAGACUUCCGGGGGAUACUGCUGAGCUAGGGACCGGGAGAGGCCGAGGGUAUUCCCGGGGUAGGGGUGAAAUCCUGUAAUCCCGGGAGGACCACCUGUGGCGAAGGCGCUCGGCUGGAACGGGUCCGACGGUGAGGGACGAAGGCCUGGGGAGCGAACCGGAUUAGAUACCCGGGUAGUCCAGGCUGUAAACGAUGCGGGCUAGGUGUCACCGGAGCUACGAGCUCCGGUGGUGCCGGAGGGAAGCCGUUAAGCCCGCCGCCUGGGAAGUACGGCCGCAAGGCUGAAACUUAAAGGAAUUGGCGGGGGAGCACUACAACGGGUGGAGCCUGCGGUUUAAUUGGAUUCAACGCCGGGAAGCUUACCGGGGGAGACAGCGGGAUGAAGGUCGGGCUGAAGACCUUACCAGACUAGCUGAGAGGUGGUGCAUGGCCGCCGUCAGUUCGUACUGUGAAGCAUCCUGUUAAGUCAGGCAACGAGCGAGACCCGCGCCCUCAGUUGCCAGCGGGUCCCUUCGGGGACGCCGGGCACACUGAGGGGACUGCCGGCGCUAAGCCGGAGGAAGGUGCGGGCAACGGCAGGUCCGUAUGCCCCGAAUCCCCCGGGCUACACGCGGGCUACAAUGGCCGGGACAAUGGGUACCGACCCCGAAAGGGGUGGGUAAUCUCCUAAACCCGGUCCAACCUGGGAUCGAGGGCUGCAACUCGCCCUCGUGAACCUGGAAUCCGUAGUAAUCGCGUCUCAAAAU